GCUCUCUUGCCUUCGCCAGCUUGUCAGGACACUGCCAGCUCCGGGCAUGGGGCCGCGUCAGUCCCGACACGGUGGGAGAGCUGGAAUCGGAGCACACGAGCUCGGGGACACCACAGGUCAGCUCAGCAGCCUGGGGAAUGGAGACAUAGCCGUGAGAGGCGCCAGGGUGGGACGGCCCCUAGGCUGUGGGGUCCUCAGGCCAGAGGCCCCCAGAACGUGCUCACAGCAGCCCAGCCUUGUCGGUGUCUGCAGUUAGUGUCCCAGCUCCUCUUGUCUGGUUCGAGCUUCCAGUAAACGCAUGGCGUUUAAUUAACUGCCCUCUUGAGGGCAUGCACGAUCGCUAAUAAAUUACUCCCUACGACCUGUAACUUUCUUCCCUUCUUUCCAGCCGCCCACCUUGAGCCCAGAGGAGAAGGAGCACGGAAGGGAGGUUACGGUCACCAUGGCUGCAGUACAAGGAAAAGUGGAAAAGCUGUCUUGGACCUUCUUACCACCCACCUGGCCCUGAUGCCAGUUCACAGACCUCAUCCAAACAAGUAGCUGGGAUUUGGGGACUUCUUAUAACACCUGGUAUGUGGGGACUUCUUAUAACACCUGGUAUGUGGGCAGUAGUGAGGCAGUCUGUCCCUUUCUGCAGGCUCUGUGCACUUGUUGGGGGCGGGGAGUCGUCUGAGGGUCUCUGAGGUCAGGGGGAGCAUGCAUAGAGACAGACAUCAGCCAGCACCUCCGCUCUCCUACACAGGGAAGACAGCCAUGCCAUGGCUGUCAGCAGUGACAUCAGAGUGUCCACGUGCCCUGGAAUGUGUGUCCCAGCUGUGUACAUCCUCCUGGUCCCUGUCGGCCAUGGCUUGGUAGCUCAGAGUCCACAAUGGGGGCCACAGCAGCUGUUCUGCUGGGGCUUGGAGGGAGUGGGCCCGGCUCGCACCCACCCCUUGAAGCCCCUCAACCCAGGACUGGCCUUUCUCAGUUUCCCGUUUCAUCUCCAGACUCCUAGAGCUGGGCUCGGGUGCAGGAUUUCCCAACCAGGGGCGGUUACCGGGCACUCGACCGAUCUCCUGAAAUACACUUUGAAGGGUUUUUGUUGUGUUUUGUUUUGUUUUCCCUACUUGCCACCCUUGAAUGAAGCAGACUGUUUGCCUUCCUGCAGAAAGAUUUGCCGUUACCCUGUGCACUUGCGAGAGGACCACGGCCCAGCGCACGGAGCUAGUGAUUUUGCCAACUUCCUGGAUGUUCAUUUCUGGUUCUGCACAAAAGAGCCACAUUUCCUUUUGGAACCGGGACCGGGAGACGGACGGCAGCAGGCACUGGAAAUUGUUGUGAGGAUUUGA
rnacentral:lncRNA from 1 species